AAGACUGUGCUUCACAGGGUCAUUUCUGUAGGCAAGUUUUCACCACAAGUUUUUCCCGAAAGGAAAGAUUUCCCACCCACGAUGAUGAGAAAAAAGUGACUAGUCUGGAGCGUGAAACUUGAUUCGGUGAUGCUUUAUCUACACUCGGUAUAUAGCCUCGAAUCGCUGAUGAUCGAGCUCUUUCGCAUAGACUAGUCGCUGUCUGAGUGGU